rnacentral:lncRNA from 1 species
AGCUGGCAUGAGACAGAGAAAGUACUAUGUCAAGAUGCCAUUUACAUGUCAAUACAAGUUGAUGAUGCACGGAAUGAAGAGGACAUGAUCUGGCUUUCUUCUAUAACUGAUGAUGUUAAUGUCAAACCAGAAAACGCGGUCAGACCAACUUUCCACUGUUUCAGCCCACAAGAUAUUCAGGAGACACAGUUGGUUGACACGACUAUCCAGAAAGUUUGGAAGUAUUUCAAAAGGAUCAAACGACCACCAAAGCCAAAACAAGAAUACUUCAGCAGACACUGACUUUGCAGAUGACGAGAGUAAUGAAACUCAUCAGCGACGAAGGAGACGUCGCAGACUUCCACCAGCGAGGUUGACAUGGGACACCAUCGCGAACCCUUCCCUGAACAUACCCGGGGUAACUCUAAAUAUGAUGGGGGACGGUCGGGUAGCCUGGUGGUAAAAGCGUUGGCUCAUCAUGCCGAAGACCCGGGUUCGAUUCACGACAUGGGUACAAUGUGUGAAGCCCAUUUCUGGUGUCCCCCGCCAUGAUAUUGCUAGAAUAUUGCAAAACCAUACUCACUCACUCUAAAUAUGAUGGGACCAGCAUGGCCCAUGCUACCAAACCCAUGGUGUCAACCGUUCCAGGUGAUGGUACCCCAGGCACUAGUCAACCCAGUCAUGUAUCCUAUUCACCAUAGAGGUUAGAGUGAAUGUGUGAGUUCUUGAUGUGGUGUAAAAUACUCUAGUUUUCUCAUUCCUUGUGAAAUAAAUGUGUGAUACAAAUUGUUAGAAUUUGUACAAGGCUGAAUAAUCUAGCUCAUGUGUUAACAUUAUUGUUAGAAACUUUGUAGUUUUGUAUGACUGGCCAUCUUUCAAAGCUCUGUAAGUUUUAUUCACAUGUUGCAGGUAUUGCCUGUUUGCUGUGUAAAGUAUGAUUGUGUGAUGUGUUUUAGUCAGCCAAAAUUAUAUAUUUUUCUGUUUCACAGUCGGUUUGUAAACAAGUAUGAGUGGUUUUCAUUGCAAGUUAGUUAAUAUACUGUUUGUAAAAAAUAUUGUUCACAUGCAUGUUGUGAAGUGUCGGGUCGACAUUUAUUUAGGCGGUGUGGAUGUAAGAUUGUGGUGAAAGGUGCGUUUUUGAGAUUUACGGCCUAAGGGAGGCAACUCUAUUAUGUUCGCUCCAAACCACGCUUGUCGGAAUUGGUUAAUCACAUUGCAGCGUGUGUCUGUGUGUCGACUGCUAAUUAACAUUUCUUCUGUAUAUUUUCAACCUGUACGGUUGAGAGGUCUAACACCUCCACAUGUUGUUUGUUGUUUAACGUCGCACUAAGCAAUAUUCCAGCUAUAUUACGGCUGUCUGUAAAUAAUCGAGUCUGGACCAGACAAUCCAGUGAUUGACAUCAUGAGCCUCGAUCCACGUAAUUGGGAUAUGAUGACAUGCAUCAACCAAGUCAGCAAGUCUGACCAUCCUUCCCCUGUUUGUCGCCUCUUAAGACAAGCAAGUGUUGCUGAAGAUCACUUAUAACCCAGAUCUGUACUGGUCGCGGGACAGUGUAAUAAUAUAUAGCAUGACAAAUAAUCCUCUAGAAGGUA